rnacentral:tRNA from 1 species
AUAAAGUUAGUUUAAGUUAAAAUGGUAGGUUGUGGUUCUAUAGUUAAAUAUAUUAUUUACUUUAUU